rnacentral:lncRNA from 10 species
CAGCCUGCGGUGGAGGGGAAGGGCCCUAGAGCCGUGGGGAGAGGCAGCCCGUGGCCUGGAGCAGUGGAGGUGUUAACCACCGAAGGGAGGUAGAAUGUUUUUCCCCACCAGAGGAGGCAGCGACCACGUCUCCUCUAUGGAGGCAUUCAAGAGCCGUCCAGCUGAAGCAGCAUCACUGUCUGAGCUCGGAAGGCACAAUCCACAUAGGUCUGCAUGGUCCACCGAGCUGCAUACCCACGGGGCCAGCGGGAGGUGGGCAGCUGCUGGGCUCUCUUCUGAAGCAGGGUCUUGCUCUGUCACCCAGUCUGGAAUGCAGUGGUGCCAUCAUAGCUCACUACAGCCUGAGCUGUACUGAGCUCGAGGGAUCUUCCCGUCUCCGCCUCCUAAGCAGCUGGGACUACAGGUACUUGCCCCCAGGCCCAGAUAAUUUAUUUAAAAACUUUUUUUGUAGAGACAGGGUCUCACUAUGUUGCCCAGGCUGGUCUCAAACUCCUGGCCUCAAACAAUCCUCUACCUCAACCCCCCUAAGUGCUGGCAUUACAGGCAUCAGCUGCCAUGCCUGGCUACAAAUCUUAAUGUUUUCCCCAUGGCUUCUUUUUCUGGCGUUCUUUUCUCAGGUAAUGGAAGUGGGCAGAGAAUGAUCCUUUCCCUAGGCUCCAGUGUGUAAGAAUUAAAGAAAGAGGAAAGAAACACAAUGGCUUGAUGGUCGAGGACAGGUUUAUUUUAAAGAAAACAAACCCAAGAGUGGCUUCUGGCUGAGUUAGAUCAGAGGCAUGCUCUCUUACAGACUAAGAGUUUUUAAGGAUUCAGGGUGGGAGAGUUUAUCAGAGGCUUGGACUGCUUCUGUGUCUCUUUAGGUGUGCUUAUCUGGGAGGGAGUUGUGUGUCUGUUUCCAUACAUCUUCCUGCAGCUGCAGGCAUACCCCCAGGUCUGCUUUUAGCUUCCCUAUCUUAGUGCACCUGAAGGGAAAGAAUGUGCUUAUUAAGGCCCACUGUUAUACUGGGGCCCAAUGUAUGAGGGUGAAGUUUGGCAAUUACCCAAGAGACUUUCCCCCCACCUCCCUCUGUGCCUGAGCUGUCUCAUCUAUGUUUUACUGUCUGCUCUUUCUGUCUGCUUGUUGUUAGAAGAGAAGUGAUUUUCUUGAAAUGCAUGAGGCUGGAAAGGGAGCUGGCACUUAAAGUGGCGGUGUUUGUCCGAGAGGAUGGUGCUCCUGCUCUGUCACAGUGGGCAUGGGGAUUCAGGCCACUGCCACCGAAUUUCAAGAGCCCAAGCACAGAGCCCAGAACUAAAUUGUGAGGGUUUAAAAAAAAAAAAAGCUUUAUUGAAGUAUAAUUGACAUACAAUAAACUUGAAUAUUUAAAGUGUACAAUUUAUGCGUUUGGGCAUUUGUAUAUACCCCUGCAACCAUCAGCACACUGAAGAUAAGGAAUAUACCCAUUACCCCUGAAAAUUUCCCCAUGCCCUUUGGAGCCCCUCCCUUCAACCCCUCAAAUACUUAAUGCGCUUUUUCCCGAAAGGCAAGAAGAAAGCUUCCCUACACAUUUAUCAAGGCUGUUAUAAUCCUGACUCCCAAACAAGGUAAGGAAAUUGUUAGACACUUAGAGAACACUUUCAACUAUUGUAUUCAGAUGUUAAAAUCCUCAGUAAAAUUCCCAUAACAGUUAAUUGAACAAACCAAUUAUGCAAAAACAUACAAUCAACUAUAAUUGCACCCUAUAGACUCCCCUUUUUAUUCUCUAAUGUGUUAUAUUCCACUAAAUCUUUCUUCAUCUUGCCAGUUUUUCUUCUAAUUUCCCUGCAGCUAUAAUUUUGGCUGAUGCUAUAGUUUGAAUAUUUGACCCUCCAAACCUCAUGUUGAAAUUUAGUCCCCAGUGUUGGAGGUGGGGCCUGGUGGAAGGUGUUUGGGUCAUGGGGGUGGAUCACUCAUGAACGGCUUGGUGCUGUUCUCAUGGCAAUGAGUGAGUUCUCACAUAAUCAGUUCCCUCCAGAGCUGGUUAUUAAAGAGAGCCUGGCAUCUCCCCUCUGUCUCUCUUGCUUCCUGUCUCAUCAUGUAAUGUCUGCACACACUGGCUCCCCUUCUGCCAUGAGUGGAAACUCCUGGAAGCCCUCACCAGAAGUAGAUGCUGUUGCCAGCAGAACCACGAGUCAAAUAAACCUAUUUUUAUAAAUUACCCAGCCUCAGGUAUUCCUUUAGAGCAACACAUAUGGACUAAGACAGUGAUGUUCUCAAUUUACCCUGACAUUGCAUGCAGGCCGGCUGUUUCCUCUUAAGUUCCCGGAGUGGGAAUGUGUUCCGGACAAAGGAUGCUAGUGAGUGGCAGUC